CUACAACUCCCAGAAGCCUCUGCAGCCCGGGCGCCGGCGGCAAAAUGGAGCCGAGGGAGGCGGGCUCAGGUGUGCAGAGCUGAACAGGUGGGAGGCAGGACGGUCCUUGGCUAUCCGGCCCAGAUCCUUUCUAAAACAACCCCUGGCGCUAUGUUCUACUGGUCCCAACGCAGUUCUGAGAGACCCAGAAUAAAUAAACGCAGUGAAUCACUGUUGCAAGGUAACAGCAGAGGCAAAAUUUGAACCUACCGAGGAAGCUCGAAAUUCAGCUCGAAAUCUGCCUCUCCUUCCCCCCACACAUGAAGAUAUACCUUUAAAAUCCCCUCUUAUGAAUCUAAAGCUAAAAACAGCAAACCGUAAAAUAGGUGUAAGGAGUUCCCAACAGUGUACUGAUGUUGGCAAGGAAGCCAGGAGCAGGAGCGCCGCCUGGGCGUAUGCCCACUGGCGUGGCCUCCUGAGGGAUCCGGGAACAGCAAAAUAGAUCCCGUGACAGAGCAGAAGAGCUUGGACUACAAUUCCCAGAAGACUCCGCGCGCCGGGUAGCGGGCCCCAAGAUGGCCGCUCGUCCGGGGAAAGGAGCGGAGACCAAUAGACGCAGAGCACGGCCUACUCGAGGCCAAUCGGGAGCCACAGAGGCGGUAACUCUGAUUGAGGGGUGGGACUGAGGUGAGAAUCGCAUAAAUCUUUGACUUUUCCUAAUGGAAAAAGAAACAUGACUCUUUCCACGUUAACUUACCCCCUCACGACUCCCCACUGGCUGAUUUCUUUUCACUUCUUUUCCCCACUCUGGGUCUUUCUUGAUUCCUUAAGCCUUCCUUUUCUAAAGUAUCUCUCAGAAUGUGGACUCCACAGUCCCCGACUUGAUCCAAUUCCCAACCUCACUGAGCCCUCCCUGGCAUCCUAACAAAAUUUCACAACUUCUUCUUCCCCUUUUCUUUCUUUCUUUUCUAUGCUAUUUUCCUCCUUACCAAAUUUAUCAUUGCCAAGCAUUGUAUAAAAUUUACUUAUCUUUUUUAUCCUCUUACUAGUCCAAUAGAAUGCAAGCUCCAUGCAGAUGUAAAUUUUUGGUUUUGGUCACUGUAGUAUUUCUACCGCUUAGAAGAGUGGCUAGCACGUAGUGAUAUACUGUGGUUUGUUUUUGUUUUUUUUUUAAUAAUUGACUGAAAUCUAGUUACUUUUCUAUUCUCCCUUUCUCUGAUGCAGAUCAAAUCAAGCCACCUCUAACCACCAUUGGUCCCUUGUGCUUGCUCUUUCUUUUAAUUCAAAAUCAUCGUCUCCGUAUAGUCUGUGACAAAUGCUAUGUGGGUGCUGGAGAAAUCAUCCAUUUAGACCCAGUUCCUAACUUCAAGAUGCUCUAUGUCUAGUGGAGUAUGAAAAGCAAACUUAAUUUUGCAAUAAACACAAUCACAAAUUGCAUGGCUAAAGAAUUUUCAUAAGAUUAUGCAGCAUCUAAUCAGGAACCAGAAUCCCUGCUCAAACCCUUGCCUCUACACCAUGCUGCUGCUUUUAGCUACAUCUCACCUCAUCGUCAAGUUGCUCCCUUUCCUUUAUUUCCCUUCCCUUCCUGGCCUAAGUCCUAGGAAGAAGAGAUAUUUAUCAGUCAUCUUUUACAUUUGAAAAGGGAGAAACAGAGCAAUUACAUGUGGACAUACACUCAGAUGUUUCCCUAUUUCCUCUAGAACAAUUUCCUUUUUUAUUCCCCCCACACACACACACACUUUUUUCCUUUUUCCUUGGCCUGAUUCAUUACAUGUAAGUGAUUGCACCAAGUCUUAACUCUCAUCAUUUGCGAUGUUUGAACCCUGCAGAGAAUAGCAAGGUAUCCUGCAAAGUGUCCUGGGGUGAAAUACUGAUAUACUUAAAAGUUCAGCUCUCAGGGAAUGUGACAUUGGAUUACAGGUCAUCACACAGACACCAUAGCCACAUAAAUUAUGAGAGAAUUGUGAAUAAUAAGGUAAAAUUGAAAACAGUUAAAACAGUAGGAAUGUGAUCAAUAUGUGUAUAGACUAAUUUUGUGCCUAGGGAUUAAAAUCCUUGUUCAGGCUUCCUAGCCUAAUCCACUGCCAAUUUGGAGUUCUUUCCUAUAACAGUUCUCUCUAGCUUUUAUGAGCAUGGACUUAGCUCAGCAGUCCUAGCUUUUCUCAAGCUGAAUGGCAUGAGAGAUUUCAGCACAUGUGUCAGCAGCCAGACUAAACAUAGACAAAAAUCAGAACCAUAUGAAACUGCAAAGCUCAAAAACUGGACUCUCCUCCUGAUAAAACAUCAGCCUGUAAUCAUUACAUCUUCUACUUAGCAGUCAAAAAGCAAAUGUCACAAAGGUACUCAGUAUCUAAACAAUGGUAUCUAAUGAUCACACCGUUGUAGGGCAGCCUAAUAUGAGCAUACAGGUAUUACUUCAGCUGUGGGUGAUGCCAACUGCUGGCUGAAGGUUAACCAUGACCUUGAGCAAUGCAUAUAUUCACAAAAAGCAUUAAGACAUAGCACUUGCCUUGGACCCAGGACCUCCAAAUGCUGAGACAACCAGUGGGAUGUCACUAUCUGAUCUGCAAUGUGACUGAAAUAACAACCACAUUAGUUUUAGUUCUCCGAGAAGCAGAUCCUGAGGCAGGUAUUCAAGUGCAAGUAGUUUAUUUAGGAGGUAAUUGUAGGAAAUAUCAGUAAGAGAGUAAGGGAAGGGAAAACAGAACAAAACAAGUGCCCUAGCUAGCAUGUUAUCACUAGGGGCAUCUAGGGUCUCUAGGACAUAAUAUGGAAUACAUGCAUUAGAUUGAGUUAGCUCACCUGUGAGACAAGAGAACUGGAUUACUUGAACACCAAUUCCCAACAAUCUAUGAUUGGAGGCUGCUU